GUCUAUAUGAAGUUGUAUGUAGUCUAACCUGCCCCCUGAUAAAUUUUAAAGGCCGCAGUAUACUAACUGUGCGAAGGUAGCAUAAUAAUUUGUUUUUUAAUUGAAAGCUUGAAUGAAUGGUUGAACGAAGAAAAAGCUGUUUCUAAUCUUAAUUUGGAAAUUUAUUUUUAAGUUAAAAAGCUUAAAUGUUUUUAAAAGACGAUAAGACCCUGUAAAACUUUAUAUAUAUAUAUUUUUUAUUCUUUAUAUUGUGUAUAGCUUAAAAAAUACAAAAUUUUAUUGUGUUGGGGCGACAGGAAUAAAGUAUAAAAUUGAACUGUUCUUAUUUAAAACAAAAAUAUUUGGAGGUUGUUGCUAAAAAGAUCCUUAAUUUUUAAGAUUUGGAGUUUAAGUUACUUUAGGGAUAACAGCGUAAUUUUUUUAAAGAGUUCAUAUCCAAAAAAAAGUUUGCGACCUCGAUGUUGAAUUAAAAUUUCUUUUCGGUGCAGAAGCUGAAAAAGUAAAUCUGUUCGAUUUUUAAAAUUUU
rnacentral:rRNA from 1 species